rnacentral:lncRNA from 7 species
AGAUAUGAGAAAUAAAGCAUACUCCUACAAUACCGUGUUAACUUGCAGACUAGAAUACAGAUUGCCUUGGUCACAGUCCUUUCCAUGGACAUUCUAUAUGUCUGCCAGGUUAUAUCCUUUCCUUCCUUAUAUGACAUUUUAGAUAGUAACAUAGUAAAAACCUAGAAAUUAUGUGGAAACUUAACUACUACUGUUGUCACCAAAGUUUGUGGAAAAGAAAGGAAACUGCACACAAAUGAAGAGAAGACAAUGUUAAAUGGGCAUGAUGUACCAAGGAGAAAGUACAGAAAGAGAUGAAAGGACAUGGCUGGAAGAGGUGUAGGAAGAAAAGCUAUUUUCCUCCUACUUCUGUAUUUUAAGAUUUCAGUAUUUAAUUAAACACUGAGUACAAUAACCUGGUAAUAAUUGUAUUCUGAUCUAAUAAAAUCUUUGGUCAUCAGCCAUGAAUUCUAUUAGUCCAAGUAAUGCAUAUUGCCCUAUAAACAGAAUAUACCUUCAAGUUCUAAUUAUAAUGUAGUUCUUGAGUUGUUAAUUUCCACUACAGAAAAACUGCCAGUAAUGAGUUGAACUAAAACCAAAAGCCACAAGUGGUGCUGAGGUCAUAUCUUCGUGAAGACUGCAUUUUUCCACUCAUAUCUGCUGCAGAACAGAUGAAUUUUGGUUAUUCUUUAUUCACGUAGUUUGCAAUAUGUUUUCAAAUAAUAGAUCUACAUGUAGUGCUCAUUAUCUAGGAAGAAUGUUGACUUGUAACAGUUUAGUGUUGUAAGUACUGUGUGCCUUAAAAUUGCUUCUCUGCAGAUAUAUUUGCUUCCAGUCUUAAAAAUGUAAAAACAACAAGUAAAAGAGGAAUUGCCUACAAAUGCAAAUAGAAUUAAAUCAUAUUAAAAAGUCAUUUUAUUCUCUGAUU